rnacentral:lncRNA from 1 species
GAAAAGGAGAGAGAGAAGAAAAUGAAGGAGCACCUCUGCCACUUGGAGCCCUAAAUUCAGGAAAAGACUGAAUACUCUUUAGAAAGCUUACCUGACUAGGUCAGGCCCACCUAGGAUAAUCUCCCUUUUAAUUAACUCAAAACUAACAGAUUAGGAACCUUAAUUACAUCUGUAAAACCCGUUCACCUUUGCCCUAUGAUGUAACAUAACUACGGGAAGGACACUCCGUCACUUUUGCCACAGAGUAUUGCUUAGAAGAAAGUUCCAGAUUCCACAACAUACAAGGCGAGGAUGACACAAGGGUGUGAGUCAGCGGGGCUCACCAGAGGGUAGACUGCCACAGCACUCUGUAGACUGUACCGGCCUACUUUAUUACUCCAGAGAACUUUUCCCCCAUAUGAAAUCAAGCCAGGCAUGGGACAGAGGUAGAUGUGGUGACAGGGAAGUGGGGAUGAGUAAUAAAGCUCAGACCUGAGGCACCAUGAGGACAUGAGAGAACUGAAAUAAGGCACCUACGAUUCUCUUAAAGAAAUAUCACCAAGAAGCCCUGUCUGACUUAGUAGGAAUAAACAAGCUCCUCAAUCUUCAACAGAGCCAUACCAACACAUCGAGAGGCAGAAUCAAGACUAGUUUGGAAGCAGCCUCCUGCAAUCUGCUAUCACGGUGGUAGAGAUGCGCCUAAGCAUCUAGCCAUUUACACUGCAGAGACCCCCAGGAAGGAUGGAAAGUGCAGUUGCAUUUCAGCAUUGGCUAGGAGGGACAUCUAGUGGCGGCUGGAAUCUGGGCGGGACGUCAACUGGUGUGUGGCUUCCCACAAAAAAAUGGAUUUUAGAACCUUCAGAUGCAUCCAGGCAAUGCACCAAUGAGGGCUCAGCCUGAGAAACGAGAAAAGAGAAAAAGCUGAGAGAACCAGGCGGAAUGGAUCUAUAUGGUGGAUUCUUUACCAGCUGAGCCACCAGGGAAGCAGCUUCCCAGAGACUUCAGGUUCUUUGCCUGUUCAGUCAAGAAGGCUCUGUUUGAGGCUGUUUCCCAAGGAAGAGUAACAUUGUCUCCACCCAGAGUGAAAGCACAGGGAACCCGCAGCAGGGUCACAAGAAUUGGUAAAAGUAUUUAAGGGGAUAUCGCAGAACACCAAUAGUUUCUGCUAAGAUUACCUAACAUGUAUUCCAAGAAAAAAAAGUAAGUGUUUACUUGAUUACUAAAUAUUUAAUAAAAUUGUAAAUAUUUAUUAAAGAAAAAAGGGCUUCCCUGGUGGCUCAGAUGAUAAAGAAUCUGCCUGCAAUGCCAGAGACCCAGGUUCAACCCCAGGAUUGGGAAGAUCCCCUGGAGAAGGACAUGGCAACCCACUCCAGUAUUCUUGCCUGGAGAAUUACAUGGACAGAGAGGCCUGACGGGCUACAGUCCAUGGGGUCACAAAGAGUUGGACAUGACUGAGCAACUAACACUUUUACAUUAAAGAAAAAAAUCUAAAUAUAUACAUUUGGAAUUAGUAUACAAUUUACAAUGCUUUGUUAUCAUUAACCAGGAAAAUGAAAAGAAAUACAAAUAAGGUAGGUAUAAUCAAUUGACAAAAGAGUAAAUAUAAGUAGGAUACAUAUAAUAGGUUAAAAUUAUCAAAGAAAUAUAAAUUAAAAGAAGUACCAUUGUUUGCAUACUGCAUUUGUGAAAAAAAGAGAGAGAGAAAUAAACAAUAGAAGUAAGGAAAGAAUUUAGUAGACUUUGGGGACUGUGACUUAUUAUUGUUUUUUUUUUUAAGUUCUGUAUGCUGCUGCUGCUGCUGCUAAGUCGCUUCAUGUCCGACUCUGUGCAACCCCAGAGACGGCAGCCCACGAGGCUCCCCCGUCCCUGGGAUUCUCCAGGCAAGAACACUGGAGUG